rnacentral:rRNA from 1 species
GAGUCCCUACGGGGCGCAGCAGUGGGGAAUAUUGGGCAAUGGGCGCAAGCCUGACCCAGCAACGCCGCGUGAAGGAAGAAGACUUUCGGGUUGUAAACUUCUUUUGACAGGGAAGAGCAGAAGACGGUACCUGUCGAAUAAGCCACGGCUAACUACGUGCCAGCAGCCGCGGUAAUACGUAGGUGGCAAGCGUUGUCCGGAUUUACUGGGUGUAAAGGGCGUGUAGCCGGGCUGACAAGUCAGAUGUGAAUUCCGGGGGCUCAACCCCCGAACUGCAUUUGAAACUGUUGGUCUUGAGGAUCGGG